UUUAUGUAAAUAUUAAUUUCAAUAAACUUAACAUUGUUGUUGUUAACAGAAACUGAUAAGAGGAAAGCGUGAGUUGUCUUAUGAGUGGAAUUACAGAAUACAAUUGCUCUUACACAAAUCAUUUUGUUUGUUAUCCAGAGAAUACUUCAAAAUGAGAAGGACAUGCCAUGGAAAAACAGACUGGGUUGGGAUCCAAUGGAAAGGGGGGACAAUGCGCCACCCUAUUCAACAAGACGGAAGCAGCUGUGGAGUUAUUGUAGUCAAAAUGGCAAAAGCACUGAUGGAAGCCUUCCCUCUGAUGCCAGAUGUAGAUUUUGACACAACAAAAAAGGCAAUGAAAAGUGAAAGAAGAACUCUCGCUCUUCAAAUCCUUGAUGCAUCAGUAUUUGAUGACCACUGUUGGUGUGCGAUGUGCGCUGCAUACAAAGCCCCGGGGUCUGGCCCUGGAAUGACAGACUGGGUGAGAAAUCAAGAGUUGUCAAUGUAAAAUUCAGAAUUAGACACAGGAAAUGACUCUUGGGAGCCAUGAAAUGUUUUAUAUAAUAAAUGACAAGCAAUUAAACACCAAACUGUGUGACAGGAGAUGAGUAAGUUCAAUACUGCUAAACAUGUAUAUUUUCUUGUAUUUGUGAACAGAUCCAGUGUGACAACUGUGACCGAUGGUACCAUGCCCUGUGCAUAAAUAUGAAGAGCACAGAAUUUCAAAAGAAAAAAACAGGCAGUUGGAAAUGUGUAUUGUGUAGUUAAUCUGAAAACUAGAAACUGUGUUCAUUAUUGUUCGAAAUACGUUUUGAAAAUAUCUGUGGAAAAUGAAAAUGUAAUAUGUUUGUGUGGCAUUGAUGCUAUGUGUGAUGUAUAAAGUGUACUGGAAUCAUUUCAAAUUGAUAAGUAAUUUUAUGACGUUAUCUGAAAGCUAUUGAGCAACAAUCUUAAACUUUAAGGAAAAGAUUCCUAAAAAUUAUAAAAUAAAAACAUAAAACAUAAAUAAAUGUCUGUGCCUCAUCUAUAGGGACUAUUAGAAUUAUUCCAAAGUGAUUUUGAGUCAAUAGGUCACAUGACCUGGAAGCUAUUGAAGAAAAACUCUCAAUUUUGAUGAAAUAAAUUCUUUAAAAAUUGAAAAUGAUUUAAAAUGGAAAACAAAUGUCUGUGCCUCAAUUAAAGAGACUAUUAGAAUUAUUUCAAAGUGAUUUUGAGUCAAUAGGUCACAUGACCUGGAAGCUAUUGAAGAAAAACUCUCAAUUUUGAAGAAAAAAAUUCCUAAAAAAUGGAAAAUGGCUAAAAAUGGAAAUCAAAUGACUGUGCCUCAUCUAAAGAGACUAUUAGAAUGAUUUCAAAGUGAUUUUGAGUCAAUAGGUCACAUGACCUGGAAGCUAUUGAAGAAAAACACUUAAUUUUGAUGAAAUA